GUGCUCACUUUGGCAACACACAUAUAAAAACCGGAACAGUCAGAGGAGGUUAGCAUGGCCUCCAGCCAAGGAUGACACCCAAAUUCAUGAAGUGCUCCAUAUUUUU
ensembl:snRNA U6 U6 spliceosomal RNA